UUGUCAACUUGUCUGAUCUGAUGGUCACAGCAGCCUGGGAAUGAGGGGUGUUUUCUUCCCAUUUUGCAGAUGACGCAAGAUGGUAGUGAGAAGUGACAGAACGACGUGAUGUCUGGUGGAAACAGCCUGACAAAUUCUCCCUGUUUUUUCAGCAUCUCACAUUGGAAACUCCUUAAGGAGCUACAUCGGCCCCUCGUUCCUACCAGCUAUGAAGUUAUCUACUUCUUGUUUAUCUCAUCAAGGCUUUGACAUAUUGCCAUCAUGGACAAACAGGAUAAUUAGACAUCGAUUCUGCCAAGACAGGCUCACUGUCUACAAAUGUUAUUGGAUGAAGACAUCAACCACUACACAGCAAGUUGGAGAGAUCCCCAUAUCAAAGAAGCAGGGAUGUCAGAGACAGGGGCUCUGCACUCAGAACAAGGGCUCCUGCCACCGAGGGUCGGGUCACUUGACCUGGAGGCAGUUGGCUUAAGCCGUGAAGGCCGUGUGAGAUGGCCACUUUGAGAGGAGAUGGGUGGCUGGGAGGCCUGACAGAUGGAGAACCUGGGCAGAUACAAAGGACCACUGUCUGGGCCAUAGUUGUCUCUCAAAAUGAACCAUUGGAUGACUGCUUCCGGCGCAGAGAAUGAACAGAAAAUGGGAGUAACAUCCGGACCAGAGGCAGGGAGCCUCACAUAAGGGCCUCAAGGCUUCCGCCUUUACACUGCUGGGCAAAAGGGGCUCCGGGGGGUUUGGGGCAGUGACGAGGGACUCCAAGACUUUGGCCAAACCUGUGCCGACGGAAGGCCCUGUCCCACGGCUGGAUUAUGCGGUGGACCCCUCCUUGCAGCGGGCCCCAAACUGCUGUCCUGCAUCUUAGUUCCCUGUGAC
rnacentral:lncRNA from 1 species